rnacentral:sRNA from 2 species
GAUGAGAAGCUUCGACUAAGGUUCGAUUCGAGCGCAGCGAGAACGCGUUGCCGCAGGCAACGACCCGAAGGGCGAAGCGCGCAGCGCUGAGUCAUCCUUCCCCCACCACCA